UCCUAGAUAAACUAUGCCGUCAAACUACAUAAAAUUAAAUUCUUAUCAAAAAUAAAAACAAAAGAAAAUACUUGGAUUUUUUUUUGCAGAUCAAAGUAGUUUUUUACUAUAAUUAUUCAUACACAACAAGGCCAGAGUGCCAUAAACUUUUGCUACAUGGACAUUAUUCAAGAUACUAAAGGUUAGCCUCAUAGUAAUAAUUAGCCAACCCUAGCACUCAUAACUAUUUUACAUAGAUAAUACUCCCAAAAGCAUUAAUUAAACAAGACAGUAGUCCAUUUUGUAGCCGUACCAUUUGUGCUAUAUUAUAGAAUUGGUCCUCGGAUCCGCAAUUUUCAUUUUAGAAGGUAGUGUUACGAAUUUGAGGCGGUAGUCAUCAGUAGCGUCAUCGGUAGGGCAAUCUACGAACCUUGUUGCUUGUUGGUUCAUGCAUACAUUAAUAUCCGUAAGCACAUAUUCUGAGUUUUCGUUUUUGGUGAAAUCGAUUUCUGGCACAGCAUUCAAGUGCUUUUUGAUUGCUUCUUUUAUCAUUUUAGGACGAUAAAGGUCGUUAUUCGGGUGAAUCCCUACACAUUUUUGAAUAGUAAUCUCAUCAAACUCACAUUAUCAUUUUACUUAGGAAGCAAUGAACCAAAUUAAAGACUAUUUAAUUAUAUAUGAAUGGGUAUGUUUACCUUCCUGGUUUAGUAGCCCAAUUAUAUCAAAUGCUUUUCUAAAAGCAAGCGCCGUUCUAAAAUAAUCAGUCUGCUUCAACAAUGCUUCUGAACACCUUCCAUGUUUCUUCCACUCGUAUUCCCAGAAUUGUACGUCCUCGGUGUUAGUUUCAUGACUCGGCCAUGCAAGAUGCAUUUCUGCUCGAAAGUCCGAUACCUUUAAUUUUCAAAAUGAAGGAGGAGAGAUAUUAGUUUAACAUAUGUGAGUAUGUAUGGAUAUAUUGCAUGUACACUUUCAAUUUUUUAUCAAACAAACUUAUGACUUAUCCAACUCUUCAAGAUAUAUAUAAAUGUUACCACAAAAAAAAAACAUAUUUAAUAGACAAUAGAGCAAGAAUUUUAAGUAGUAAAUUAAAUGCAGACCGAGAGAACUCACAGAGUUAACAUCAAAGGCAGUUCCGUCACAAUAUAACCCUGGGGUCCCCUUCUCGUUAUAGGGAUAAAGGCCGUGAAUGGUAAAUGUGUUGAGGAGAGACUUUGUAUCACAGGCAUUGUUGACCUCGCAAAAUCCAGCUGGCCAUUGAAGCCUUAGGGCAAACAUUGCCAAUGGAUAAUCUGAUCGAGCAUUCCCACCCCAAGAGAAAAUGCUCAAGCUCACUAUAAUGAUGCUGAUAAUAUAUAUUGCCCUCAUGAUCUCUUCAAACUUCAACAACUUUUUUCUUAAGAAAUGAAGUGUGUGUUUUCUGUGAUCUCUAGACUUCCAUGCAUACCCUUUUAUAGUCACCAGUUCUUUUUUAAUUAUAAUAAGAAAAAACUUAUAAAAUAUUUUUAUUUAUAUUUUUGAGUGUUAAUUUAUCCGUAAAGCUUUCUGGCAUGAAACCAUGGGCGGAACCGGGGGCACCAAAAUUCUGCACAUGCUAUAUAUUAAUAUAUAUAUAUAUAUAUAUAUAUAUUACUAGCAUACAUAUAUUAAUAGUCAAUAUAUUUAUAUAUACACACACACAUAUAUAUAUAUAUAUAUAUAUAUGUAUAAUAAUAGUAAUUUAUAAUAAUAGUCUAAAAUUUUUUACAUAUGCGCGCUCCAUAAAUUUAAAAUUAGAAUAAAUUUUAUUUUACAAUGAAAUUCAAAUAAAAGAACUUAAAACAUAAUCAAAUCUAGGUCGCUACUUGAGAUUGAGGAGUGAUCACAAAAACCAAGUUCUUUAUUUAUUAAAUUAUUUUUUUAUAAAUAUUUUAUAUUUUUAAACAUCAUAAAUUACUUCAGAGACUCUCCCCUCUGUUGAUUUUUUUCUAUAUUAAUUUUCUUUGUUCUAUAUAGAAAAUUGAUAUUUUCAUAUAAAAAAUAAUAUUUCUACAUGAAUCUCUCUCACGUAUUUCUACAUGAAAUAAAAAAAAUAUUUUUAUAUAAAUUUUGAUAUUGACCAAAAUUUUUGAGACGUUUUCAAACUAUGUUGAGUCACAGAAUACAAUUAUAUCUUCUCAAUCGUACAGUUGAAAGAAGCACUCCAAGUAUCAAUAAAUAUUUUUUUUUAUUAAUAUAUUUUGACUCCUUUUAAAAACAUUCUGAUUCUGCCAGUGAAACGUGUUGAAAAAUAUCCAUUGUAUGGUCACCUGUCACACUCUUAGCUGCUACUCCAUUGGUUUUUGUGAAACUUAAUUAGCUUUAACACAUAAAGCCAAUUAGGUUAAUUAAAUUACCCGCCUAUUCCACUUGGUUGCCUUUGUCUUCGUGGUACAGAAGUAGGUGUUAAUUGUAAUUUUUUUUAUAUUAAUUUUAAAGCUAUUAAGUAGUUUUUCGUACACUAACAUGGACAACAAAAAAAAUGACUUGAAUAUAUUUUUAAAAACUCAAGAGAGUUAUUGCUUAUAAAUAUAUGUUUAAACCUGUAAUUCAAUAAUGUGAUCCGCAUGUGACUAAUUUGAGUGAAAAAUUUUAUUUUUCUUUUUUAUCAAUAAAAUGAAAUUCAUUAAUACCCAAAACAUGAUUAUAAAAGAAACUCAAGUUAAACAUGAGCAGCUAAUACAGAAAUUCUAGGGGGACAUUUUUUUGUGACAUUGUUUAGCGACUUUUUUUUUUUGGUUUUUUUUUGUAGUACCUCUUAAAAAAUCUAUAGUAUUUAUUUCAACUAAAAUUUUUAUAAAAAACAGUGUUUUAGGUGUAAAUUGGAUACAUACAAGAAACAGGGUCUGUACAGUCUGUACAACCCUGUUUCUUGUAUAUAUCCAAUUUACACCUAAAAUAUUAUUUUUUACAAAAAUUUUAAUUAAAAUAAAUACUAUACAUUUUUUAAAAUGUACUACAAAAAAAAACCAAAAAAAAAAUGUCACUAAACAAUGUCACCCAAAAAUGUCGCCCUAGAACUACUCCAGCUAAUAACAUAAGUUCUAACAGACAAUGAAUGAUAAGACCCAAAUUACCUUCAAUCACACACUCAUGCAGAAAAAGGACAAUGACAGCGUUUUUUCUCAGCACCGUUUAAUGUGCGUAGAGCAGUAGUGUUUGGAUAAUGAUAAAUAAAACGACAAUAGAGAGAGAGAGAGAGAGAGAGAUUUUUUCGAUUAUUAACUUUUAAUGUGGGUAAAGUAGUAGUAUUUGGAGGUCCAAUGCCACAUUUUAUAUAUAAAAUUUGGACCCGAUUAUUAUGAAAAAUUUUAUGAUAAAUUAGUCAAUUAAUUAAUAAAAUACUGACACAUAGAUAGAGAUCACUUUUUGAUCUGUAUGUCGAUACUCGAUACUGUAUUAAUCAAUUGAUCAAAAUUAACUUCAUGCUAACUACUCCAUAAAAUUUAAACCCUUAAUAAUGUAUAAGUUAUAAAAUUAUUAAUUGUGUUUGGUUUGUUUAGAACUUACGGAGUACUAAUAGACCAAACCUUUUUCCUUCUAAUAUUUUUUUUUCCCUCCGAGCAACAUGAAAAAGUUUGCUAUAAUGAUGAAGUUAUUGCCGGUAGCUAACUACCGCCCUGACUUUGAGUGGUUGUAGAAUUAAUGGCUUAUCGAUCCCUUAUUGAAGAAGAAGAGAUACAAAUAAAAUUUUUUAAUAAAUUUUAUUAAUAAUAAAUAAAUUUAGAUGAAUACAUAGAUAAACUUGUAAGAAUAUUUUAUGAGAGAAUAUUAAUUAUAUUUAUAUAAAUUAGGCUAAUUGAUUGGUCUAAUUAAGUGUGAUAUAUGGACUCUAAUUAAGUCUAAUAUAGAUUGGCUAGUAUGAGUUAUUUAAAUAACAUUUUGGGCUUGUGAUAAGUAUAUAGUUCCACUAGCUAGGAUUGCUAAUCAUACUAAGAAGGUUAUUGAAGGUUUCUCAUCGAGCCAACAUUUAAGGCAUCAAGGGAGUAGUAUAUAAUUUGGUCAUUCAGAAAGAUCAAUUCUGUUGCGCUAGCUCAUUAUGGAUUUCAAAUAAGGUACACAAUAUUAUUAUUUUCUAUAUACCUAGGUCUGGAAUGGGUUAGUUUUGGUUUACAUAAUUUAGUUAUGAUUAUAUUUAAGAAUUAAAAUUACAAUACUUAUUUUUAAUAUGAAUUAUGUGGAUUAGAACUAUAUAAUUAUGAGUUAUGUGGGUUGAAAUUAUAUAGUUAUGAGUUAAAUAUAAAUAAACUCAUAUUUCAAUUUUCAAGCUUACCAUUAU
rnacentral:lncRNA from 1 species